rnacentral:tRNA from 1 species
UAAAAAUUAGUUAAAUAUAAAUAACGUAAGUUUGUCAGACUUAAAUUACUUUUUUGGAGUAUUUUUAA